GUCACAUGAAACAGUCACGAUAAACGCUGUGAAAGUGGAACGAAAGAAAGGAGCCAAAUCAGCAGCUGCAGCAGAGAAGAAGCUGCUGGUGUUUGCAGAGCUCCAGAGCUCCAUGUCCAGCAGUUUGUGUAUAGUUGCUCUACACAAACUGCACAACAAUGCAAUCAAAUGAAGGACGACGUCAUUAUAGGUUAGCGUUAUUGCAUCUCGACAUAGUUUUUUUUUUUUUUAAAGCUUGCGUCUACUUUAAUGAUAUUUAAUGCACCACCCGGCGAGCAUGCUGAGUGACCUAAAUCAAACACACCCACAAUGUUGCGUGACCAACAGGUGCAUGCUGGGGCUAGCUAAAAUACUAAAUGCUAAAAUGCUCAUGGUGGAUGCUCGGCAGGUGACUUUUACAUUUGCGUAUGGACUUGUGCCUCCUGUCAUAGCCGAGACCGCUGAGCGCUCGCUCCAGUUCCAAACUUUUUGAAAACUUUGAGGAGCGCAGUUGGACCAGAGAUGCUGAGUGGACUGGACAUUUCCCCCUGAGAACGAGCGAGCAGAGAAGCGGAACCCAGAGCAGAUUGAGGAGGACUUCACGCGAAGCCGUUCGGGCAGAAUUCCCUGCAGGCAUAAUCCAAGGACGUCCCUGUUCUCCAGGUGGAUCAUUUCAGCUGUCAGACCACAUUUCUGCAGGAAACAUUGUAAACAACGCCUGAGGAGAGUGACAGAGAAUUGCCUCCAUGACACUCAGGAGAAGAAUAAAGCAUGUCUUGUUGCAUCGUAUUGAAUUUGUAAAACCAAAAUGCAUAAAGGACAUAUGCAAUGGGUUAGACAGCAUGCACUGUUUUAUAUUUUAUGCACAUAAAUUGUUUAAUUGUA